rnacentral:tRNA from 2 species
GGGCCGUUAGCUCAGCGGUAGAGCACUACAUUUGCAAUGUAGGGGUCGUGGGUUCAAAUCCCUCACGGUCCACCA